UGGGGAACCAGGACUUUUACUUUGAAAAAAUUAGAGUGUUCAAAGCAGGCCUACGCCCGAAUACAUUAGCAUGGAAUAAUAGAAUAGGACGCGCGUUCCCAUUUUGUUGGUUUCUGAGAUCGCCGUAAUGAUUAAUAGGGAUAGUUGGGGGCAUUUGUAUUCCGUCGUCAGAGGUGAAAUUCUUGGAUUGCCGGAAGACAAACUAUUGCGAAAGCAUUUGCCAAGGAUGUUUUCAUUGAUCAAGAACGAAGGAAGGGGGAUCGAAAACGAUCAGAUACCGUUGUAGUCUCUUCUGUAAACUAUGCCAAUUGGGGAUUAGCUCAGGAUUUUUAAUGACUGAGUUAGCACCCGAAGAGAAAUCUUUAAAUGAGGUUCGGGGGGGAGUAUGGUCGCAAGGCUGAAACUUAAAAGAAUUGACGGAAGGGCACCACCA
rnacentral:rRNA from 1 species